GGACAACUGAAGAUACCUUACGGGAUACAUUUGAACAGUUUGGCAAGCUUGUACACAUGAACUUGGUGAUGGAUAAGGUAGCUAAUAGACCAAAAGGUUUUGCCUUCCUACGGUAUGACACAGAAGAGGAGGCUAUGAAAGCUAUUGAAGGGAUGCACGGAAAGUUUUUGGAUGGAAGGGUUAUAUUCGUAGAAGAAGCUAAAAGCAGAUCAGAUAUCUCCAGAG